UACGGGGGGGGCAAGCGUUGUUCGGAAUUACUGGGCGUAAAGGGUCUGUAGGUGGCCAACUAAGUCAUACGUGAAAUCCCUCAGCUUAACUGGGGAACUGCGUCUGAUACUGGUUGGCUUGAGUGCAGGAGAGGAACGUGGAAUUCCAGGUGUAGCGGUGAAAUGCGUAGAUAUCUGGAGGAACACCGGUGGCGAAGGCGGCAUCCUGGACCGGCAUUGACGCUGAGGCGCGAAAGCCAGGGGAGCAAACGGG
rnacentral:rRNA from 1 species